ACCCCACGCCACGCUGAGGUGAAGAUACGCAAGACGUCCUCUAAAGCAACUUCCGUGGGUGCCAAGUUAUGGGCUGGGGGCGGUGCUGACCUUGAGAGCGCGUAGGAGGCGCAGGCGCAGCACAGGUGCGUGGGCGGGCGGAGCGCAAGUGGCUGCGUUUACCAGGACCCUGAGGUGCCAAUUGAAGUCAGAAGAACAUCUACCAAGAGCAGAGAAACCAGGAAGAAAAUUCUGCCUGUUUAACACAUUCCAAUAUGGACGUUUUCCAUGUAGAUAUAUAUAUAUCAGAGGCAAAUAAGUGAAACCCCCCAUAUACCUUUUAAUUUUGUGUUUUUUCCAAACUCUGUUCCAGUCAACUUUCUCUCCCUUUUUAUUUAAUUAUAAUGAGACAUCGUACUGGAGGCAGGCUUGAAAUGGAUAUACAGAACACUUUAAACCCAGAAAUUUGUCUCAUAACUUGGGGAUCUUUACUUAAGUUGUAGCUAUCAGUAAUUUCAUCCAUGAGGUCACUUUCUACCAUAGUGUGACGUUUUGUUACAAAAUUGGAAUUAGUAAGGAAGUUUUGGGAGAAGUAAAGAAGGUUGAGUAGGCAGACGUAGUUACAGAUAUUAAGUUUUACCCUCCUUAUCAAAGUACCUGGAGGGUGUGGUAUCCAAGCUAUAAAUGGCCCAAAGACUCGGAAUCGGAGUUCUCAGCAAUCUAAAAGAAGCAUGCACACGGCAGUUGCUUUGUAUCAGGAAAGGGGACACAGACUGAAUGCGUGAGACUUUUUUGUUUGUUUGUUUUUUAAGUUUAAACUUGGUUUUGUGGGGGGACGAACAGCAUGACAAUUAAAGAAGAUCUAGGAAUCAUAAGUAUUGACAGAACAACUGGAGGGGAGGUGGAACUGGAGAAUAGUUUGUGAAACAGAUCUUGCUGAGGAUGCAUCCAGAACUUCCUGAAGGGUUCCUCUUCUGCUAUGUAGGGACAAGGUUGUAAAUAGACAAGCCACAGGGCGUUCUGCAAAUGCUAAGUGUGGUAGAGAGGGGCUGGAAUUGUCUGUUGGUGUAUCUGUGGGAAGCAGCUGCUAUCCUUGGAGAAGAAAACAUGGAGAAGGUAAGUGGCUAUCAGCCUGUUAGAGACAACACAUUCUGUGAAGUUGCACUCUUUCAUUUCUGGCACUGUGGUUCUUCUAUCUGUCCUAAACCUGGCAGUCUCAUUGAGGUUUACAAAGUAUCUCCCUCUUUGUGACAGUAAAACUAGAAUUAUCAGGAUGGAAUUCAUUCCUGCUAGAGUAAAACCAUAAGACGAAAUAGCAGUUUUUAUUAUCUGCAUAUCAUUUUUAAUAGAUCACAGAGUUCUGUGUUCCUUAUUUGGUGUAUGGCAAGUUGAUAAAUAAUUCUUGGUUAAUAUUCUUUAACGUUCUGUUUCACACAUUUCUAUAUUACAUUUGAAAAAUCUUUUUAAUGCUUAAAAUGCAUAUAUGUUUUAAGGUAGUGCCAUCCAGUCUUUCUUAUUUUGUAGAAUAAUAUUGCUAUCUAUUGGUUGCCUGCCUUAAAGUAGAAUAAUUUCCAUUUCCAUUACUUAAAAUAAGUGGGUAUCUUUAACAAAGUUACAAAGGGGACAAUAAUGAAAGGGAAGAAAAAAUAGAAGAUGGAGAGUAAAAGAAAUUCAGUAGUUUCAGCAAGGAAAUUAGGAGCAUAAUCUUUGAGAAAGUCUUGGUUGCUUCCUUUAGGGCUUUAUCAUCAGUCGAAAUGUCCUGAGUGAGAACGAUUCUCAAGUGCUUUCAAGACCAACAAAAAGUUACGCUACCCACAGUGACCUGGAACUCUUUCAGCCAUUAAGAUAAUAUAACUUUUUUGCAAUUCAGGCCAUACUUUUUUGCAAAAUGUUAUUAGUUUUUCCUUUAAGACAUUUCUGCUUUUUCUGAACAAGUGUGUCAUAUGCUUUCAUUGUAAUUUUUUUUUUUUUUCCCUAACAUAUACUGUUUUCCUAAUUAGACUAUAAAUUCUGCCAGAGCUGGGACCUUGUUUUGUUUUCCUGCCUUUCCCUUAAGAAAUAUAAUUUGAAUGAAUGUUGUAAACGUUUAAAUUGCCCUUAAAGCGCUUUACGGCAAAGAUGUUAUUUGUAGUAAUACCUACAAUGGUAAAAAGUUUGUUGCAGUAUUACGUACAAUAAUAAGUUUGAUCAAUUGUUAUAUGUUUAGUGGAAUAUUAUCUAGCUCUUUUAAAAAGCCACUGAACUAGUCUUUCUAAUGGAAAAUGUUUAUUUUCUAAGUUAAAAGAGCGUUUUAGGCCAGGCACAAUGACUCACUACUGUUACCACAGCACUUUGGGAGGCUGAGGUGGGAGGAUCACUGGAGCACAGGAGUUAGAGACUAGCCUAGGCAAUAUAGUGAGACCUCAUCUCUACAAAAAUUUAAAAAUUAGCUGACUGUGAUGUUUGUGCUGGUAAUUUCAGCUACUCAGGAGACCGAGGUGAGCUGAUCACUUGGGACUAAGAGGUAGACGCUGCAGUAAACUGAGGUCACAUCACUGCACUCCAGCCUAGGCAACAGAGCAAGAUCUUGUCUCAAAAAACUAAGAAGCGUAUAUAGACUGCAUGUUUGUGUCCUCCCUCCCUCCACACAAAAUUUCAUAUGUUGAAACCCUAAUCCCCAAUGACAUGAUAGAAGGUGGGGCCUUUGGGGGACAAUUAAGUAAUGAGGGUGAAGCCCUCAUGAAAUUAGUGCCUUUACAAGAAUAGACACUAGACAGGUUGCUUCCCCUCUUUCUUGCUCUUCACAAUGUGAGGAUACAAGAAAACAGACAACUAACUACACAUUAGGAAGGGGGCCUGAUUUGUGCCAAUCAUGCUAGCACUCUCUUCUCUGAUUUCCCAGCCUCCAGAACUGUGAGAAAUAAAUUUCUGUUGUUUAAGUCACCCGGUUUAUGGUACUUAGGUUAUACCAGCCCAGAUUAAGAUAGCAGGAUCCAAAAUUGUGCCCAGUAUGAUUGCUUUGACAUGAAAAAAAUCCUAAGCACAGAGAGUAAAAAGUAACCAAAAUAUAUCAGUCACCACUGCUAGCAUUGACUCUCUAAAACAGCUUUUCUAUAUUGGGUUUGUUUUUUUUUUUUUUUAAUCUUAACACUGAGCAUAGUGGCUCAUGCCAGUAAUCCCAGCACUUUGGGAGGCCGAGUUGGGCAGAUCAUUUGAGGUCAGGAAGACCAGCCUGACCAGCAUGACAAAACCCCAUCUCUACAAAAAAUAGAAAAAUUAGCUGGGCAUGGUAGCACACCCCUGUAGUCUCACCCGCCUACUUGGGAGGCUGAGGUGAUAGGAUUGGACCUGGGAAGCAGAGGUUGCAGUGAUCUGUGAUUGCAUCACUGUACUCCAGCCUGUAUGACAGAGCAAGACUUCAUCUCAAAAGUAAAUAAAUAAAUAAAUAUGAUUUUUUGUUUUUUUUCAACAUUACAUUAUGCUUUUUAACAUUCACUAUAUUACUGUCAUCUUUCAGGUUGGAAAAAAAUGUUUUAAAUGUUAUUCUGAAGUACACUGCAACCUUUAACAAUUCAGUAGACUUCCUCUGAAGUUUUAUUUUCAUGUAGCUUACCACAGUUAUGUUUAGGAAUAUGCCACAUGUCUGAUUAAUUGGUGAAAUAUUUCUUGCAAUUUUACACAGAUUGUACAAUGCACAUUUUCAAGGACCACUAACAUACAUAAUGGGAACUUGACUCCAUUUGAUACUUUUUGGCAUCAAGAAAGUCUUUAAGCAACCAGUGCCACCAAGAGCAAUAAAAAGACAAAACCAUCUGAAAGUAUCUAUCUGUUUAAAACUUUAAUUAGCUUUAUUCAUUCAUUAAAUAUUUUUUGAAUAUCAAACUGUAUCAGUCACUCUUCUACACUCUUGAGGAAAUAGUAAAUAAAGCAGAUAUUUUCUCUUCUAUGAGGAAAUUUUCAUUUUAGUAGCAAUAAAUCAUAAAUUAACAAAAAUAGAAGAUAAUGGUAAGUACUAGGCAUGAAAUUCAAACAUGACUAUUUUAGAUUAGGUGAUUAAGGAAAAUAAAGUACCAUGUAAGCUGCUAUGUAAAACUCGGGGAAACCGUUGCUUGCAAGAAAGGACAACAGUGCAAAGAAUCUAAGGCAUGAUCUAGCUUAGAAUACUUCAGGAGACAAAAGAAGGCCUUUGUGAUUAGAGCAUAGUGACUUAACAGGAGAAUACUGUAACUUUAGAGGCAUAGGAAAGGGCUAGAUCAUGUUACCUUUGAAAGAUAGGAAAGAAUUUAGACUUUAUUCUUUGUGCAAAUGGAAAAAAAAUUAGAACAUUUUAAUACAAAGAGUGAUAAAAUACAUUUUUAAAAUCCACUUUGGUAAUUUGUUUUUUAAUUGGAGUAUCUAGUCUGAUUACAUGUAACAUAAUUACUAACAUAUUUGGAUUUAAAUUUUUCCUUGUUCCUUUUUUAUUUGUCCCACCUCUCCUAGGUUCAUUUGCUCUUUUGCCUUUUGGAUUUCUUUUUGAAUUCAGCCUGUAACAUCUGGUAUUCCGAGGGAGACUCUGAUCCAACUGCCAAACAGCCCCAACCCUGCUUAGCUUCUCAGAUCAGAUGAGAACAGCAUAUUCAGGGUGGUAUGGCUGUAGACCUUUUAGAUUAUUUUUAAUUAUUCCAUUUUUCCUACCCCAAAGCUUGACAGAUAUCUUUUAUUUUCUUUUUUAACUAUUCACCUCAGGUAUUAAAACAUGGAACUUGGGUUUAUCAUCUUCUAAGGUAAUUUGGUAUUAUACUUCUUCCAGGACAAUGUAAGGACCUGAGAACACUUCAUUUACUUCCACACUCCAUAUUACAUACUUUGUAUAUUCUUAAUAUGUAUUUCCUAAAUUUUCAUUUUUUUAUUUUUAAAUUCUCAUUAUUUAAAGAAUUUAAAUUUUGAGAAUAAAUUUUUAUUAUUUUAUUAUUCUCAUUAUUGUUUUUUAUUCAAUAUGCAAUUUCCCAAAGAUUUACUUUUAUUGUGUUUUGUGGUUCCUGGAAUCUGAGCUUCCAUCUGAAAUCUUAUUUCUUCUUCUUGAAGACAUACUUUAAUAUAUCUUUAUAUGUCUACUGGUAACAAAUUCUUUCAGAUUUUCUCUCCUGAAACUGUCGUAUUUUACUUUCAUUUUCUAAGAACCUUUUUGCUGAAUAAGCAGCUGUUUUAUCAUUUCAAAGAUAGAUUUUAUUCCUUCUGGCUUCCAUUAUAUCUUAUGAGACAUUAUGUCCUUUUUUAUUUUUCCUCUUCAAAAGUGAUCUCUUUUUUUGCAUGGCUACCUUUAAGAGGUUUGUCUUAAGUUUGAUGUGCCCACAUGUUGCUUUUUGUUUGGUUGUAUUUUUUGUCUUCUUUUUUUUUUUUUUUUCCUCUUUGAGAUUUGUAAUGUUUCUUGAAUCUGAUGUGAUGUCCUUAGACUGUUUUAGAAAAUUCUCAGCUCUGUUUUAUCAGGCAUUGGUCUGCCUUCACUCUCCUUUCUCCUCUUCUUUUGGUACUCCACUUAACAUGUGUAUUUGACAAUUCACUUUGUCCCUUGUAUUUUCCAUUUGUUUUCUUCUCUCUGUUUCAUCCUGAAUAUUUCUUCUUAAAUUUCAGUUCACUAUUUUAAUAGUCACUAAUCUGUUAAAAAUUUCUUUUGAAACAUUUAUUUUAGCUAUAUUUUUGGUUGUUAUCAGUUCAAACAUUUCUACUUGAUUCUGUUUUAUUGUUUCCAGUUGUUUAUCAAAUAUCUCUAUCUUUUAUUUCCUCAAACAUUCUAAUCACAAUUACUGUAAAACCUGUAUCUAAUAACUAUGGUGUCCAUUAUUAUCUGACACUUUUUGUGUUUCUUGUUGUUAUCACAUUGUCUUUCUUUUAUGUCCCUUUUUUAUGUUAUUUUAUAAUAUUUGCUUAUUUUAUAAACAUUAUAAAUAUAUAAAACUAUGUUUAGGUUAUGUUUUAAUUGAAUGUCAGAACUGUUUUGAUUGAAUUAUUUAUGAGGAAACUAUGCUUUGUAGUCCAAUAUGAUGGUAUUUUCUAAAGAAAGUAUUUAUGUCUCCUGGCAGGACCUUUGGACACUAGUAAUCCAAGAUCAUCUUAAUCCAGUUAGUGAUAGAUAUAAUUACAAUAUAGGCAGGUCUACUUUCAGUUCAGCAGAAAUUUCUCUCAGAGUAUAGACCUUUGAAGUCCCAACUCAAGCAUGCAGAAUUUACCAGAGCAGGCCUUAAACUCCAGUUUUUGUUUUUUUAAUUCUAUUAGUUAGAAGCUCUGUUCACCUUUUCAGCCAUCAUCUCAUGAAUUGGAAGAUACUCCAGAGGAAAAGCUACUGUAAAUGCUGCAUUCAACAACUUUUUUCCUUCUGAAUAUUUCAUUGUCUUAUGCUCUCAGAUGUUUGUUUUAUUUUUGUCCAAGCUGAGGGUGGUGCUUCACGUCUGUAAUUUUAGCACCUCAGGAAGCCAGGGUGGGAGCACCCCUUAAGGCCAGGAAUUUGAGACCAGCCCAGGCAACAUAACAACACCCUUGUCUCUUGGAAAAAUAAAUUCAUAUAUUAUAUAUAUAUAUAUAUAUAAAAUAUAUGAAAUAUAUAUAAUAUAUAUAUUCUCCAAAUCUUCUAAUUGUUCUUCAGAAGAGGUCUAAAUUAGCUAACCCAUCAUUACUAAGAGGAGAAAUUUAAAAAAAAAAAUAAGUACACCUGAACUGUUUACAAAAAUUAACCAUAUAAAAGUCUUAAAAUUUCAAAAGAUUGCAUUCACUUAGAUCAUUUUUUGUAAUCGCGGUAUAAUUAAGUUAGAAAUAAAAAAUGACAACUCUAGAAAACCUCAUAUAUUUAGAAAAUAGUCCACUUGAUGGGUGAAAUUCAAAGAAAGAAUUUCAUUGAUAAAUAGAAAAUAUUCAGAACUGAACAAAGACAAAAAUACUCUACUAUUUAUACCUGUAGAAUGUAGCUACAUUACUUUCAAGAAAAUCAAAAGCCUUAAGUACUCAAGGAAUACUGAAAAUUAAAGAUUAAAUAGUCUAACCUAAAGGAUUAGGAGAGAAUGGAAUAUAGAAGGAAAAAAUAAAGUUUAAGUAAUAAAACAGAAAGCAAAUAGUCAAUACAGAGGGGUAACAGAAGUUAUAAAAAGAAUUUAUUUUUUACUUGAUACUUUAUACAUAUUUAUUGGUAUAAAUGUUUUGCUACAUCUUCUAUAAUGAUCCAGUCAGAGCAGUAGUGUAUCCAAAAGUUGUAUCUUUUUUUUUCUUGAGAUGGAGUUUCGCUCUUGUAACCCAGGCUGGAGUGCAAUGGCACUAUCUCCGCUCACCACAACCUCUGCCUUCUGGGUUCAAACAAUUCUUCUGCCUCAGCCUCCCAAGUAGCUGGGACUACAAGCAUGCGCCACCAUGCCCAGCUAAUUUUUUGUAUUUUUAGUAGAGAUGGGGUUUCACCAUGUUGACCAGGAUGGUCUCGAUCUCUUGACCUCGUAAUCCACCUGCCUCAGCCUCCCAAAGUGCUGGGAUUUUAGGUGUGAGCCACUGCGCCCGGCCAAAAGUUGUAUCUUUUAACAAACUAACAACAUUGACAAACCUUUGACAGGAUUAGCCAAGAAAGAAGGAAAAGACACAAAGAUUAUUAAAAGUGAAAAUGGGGACAUUUCAAUUUUAUAGAAGACCAUUCCACGGUAUAUAAGACUGCCUCUUAUCAAAUUUAAAAUUAUCGUAUUAGGCUUCUGUAACCCUGCUGUUAAAUUUCAUAAGGGCAGUAAGAAUUAGAGCCCUGUCAUAUUCACAAAGAAAGACAAAAAUUCCAAAUAAAACAGACCUCGGAAAAUGUGUUUUUUUAAAAAAGAUAAUAUAUCAUGAUCAGGUGGAAUUUAACCAGGAAUGUAUUUUAUUAUAUUAAAAGAUUAGAGGAGACUGGCUGCUGUGGCUCAUAGCUGUAAUCGUAACACUGUAGGGGGCCGAGGCAGGUGGAUCACCUGAGGUCAGGAGUUUGAGAGCAGCCUGGCCAACAUGGUGAAAGCCCAUCUCAACUAAAAAAAUACAAAAUAUUAGCCAGACUAAUUUUCAAUGGAGGGCAUCUGUAAUGUCAGCUGCUCAGGAGGCUGAGGCAGGAGAAUCGCUAGAACCCGGGAGGUGGAGGUUGCAGUUAGCCGAGAUUGUGCCAUUGCACUCCAGCCUGGGCGUCAGACCAGGAGAAAAACUAUCUAGUUAUCUGAACAGAUGCAGGAAAAGUAAAGUAUUUGAAAAAAUAACAGACAUCAAUAAAACCUUUGGGCAAAUUAGAAUUGUGUAGAACUUCCUUAAGCCAAUAAAACCUACAGCAACGUAUAUUUUAAGAUGAAGUAUUUGAAGCAGACCCUUAGAGUCAGGAACAAGUACUACAUUGGAGAUCCUAGCGAGAAUUAUAAGGCAAGAAAAACAAAAUAUUAAAAAUUGGAAAUAAACAUAACUUAGUCUACUGGUAAAUUAUUAUUAAAGAGCUUUGCAAGGAUUCUGGAUAUACUAUUGAUACGGUUUGAAUCUGUGUCCCCACCCAAAUCUCAUGUUGAAUCGUAAUCUCCAAUGUUGGAGGUGAUUGGAUCAUGGGGAUGAGUUUCUCAUUAGUGAUUUAGUACCAUCCUAUUGGUACUGUCCUUGAAAUAAUGUGUUCUCACGAGAUCUAGUUGACAUUGUGUGGUAUCUCUCUCUUGCCCAUGUUUCCCCUUUGCCUCCCACCAUAAUUGGAAGCUUCCUGAAGCCUCCCUUGAAGCAGAAGCCACUGCUUCCUGUACAGUUUGCAGAACGAUGAGCCAGUUAAACCCCUUUUCUUUAUAAAUUACUCAGUCUCUGGUAUUUAUAGCAAUGUGAAAACAGACUAAAAACACUAUCAAUAUGCAAAAGUGAAUUGCAUUUCUCUCCAGCAGAAAUGAACUGUUAGAAAAUGUUUUUUUGUAAGACUAUUUACUAUAUUCCUUUAAAAAAAUGAAUCACCUAUAGGUAACUUAAAAGAUAUAGUAGACCUCUAUAGAAAAAGAAUUACAAAACUUUGAGAGACAUUAAAGAAUUUCUGAUUUUAAAAUUGCUAUGUUCAGUUAUUAAAAGACUUAAGUUAAAAUGGCAGUUCUCCCCUAUGCAAUGAAAGUAAUUGCAAUACAAAUCCCAAAUGAGUUUUUCAAGAAGCUUGACAUUGACAAACUGAUUCUGAAGUCUGUGUGACAAAGAGCAGAAUUCAUGAUACUCCAGAAGCAGAUUUAAGAUAGAAUUGAUUUGUAGACAUUCACAACAGCAAAAAAAUUACUCAAAUAUCCAUGAAAAGAUAGUGUUUAUCCAUGAAAAGAUACACAAAAAGUGAUGCAGUUAUAUAAUGGAAUAUAUUUGGCUACAAAAAGGAAUGACAUAAUGAUACCUGCUUUAACAUGUAUAAACUUUGAAUACAUUAUGCUGAAAUAGAGAAGCCAGUCACAAAAGACCACAUGAUUCCAUUUAAAUAUAAUGUCUAAAGUAGGAAAUGUAUUGAGACAAAAGAUUUGUGGUUGUUUAGGGCUCACAAAGUUUGGGGGCAUGGGGGCCCAGGGUAGCGAUAGCCAAAGUGUGCAGAGUUUCUUUUUGAGGAAGUAAAAAGUGUUCUAAAAUGUAUAGUUGCACAUUUCUGUUGGUAUACUAGAAUACAUGCAGUUGUGCACUUUAAAUGAGUAAAUUGGUAUAUGAAUUGUACCUCAAUAAAUCUGUUAAAACUGUAGUAAUUAGGGUAUUGUAAUACUGGCUUAGAGAUAGAAAAAUUGAUGUAUAAUGAAUCUUGAUUGUAAGGACUCCUGAUUUAUGACAGAGAUGGCAUUGCAUACCAGCAGGAAAAACAAGAGCAUUUCAAUAAAUGGUGCUGGAUAUUCAUAUGGAAGAAAAAUGAAAUUGGUCCUCCCUACCUAACACCAUAUAGAAAAAGUAGUUUCAGAUGACUUUAAGAUGUAGGUGUGAAAGGAAAACAUUAAACCUUCAGAAGAAAGAUUGCAAAAAUAUUUUAUGAUCUUAGGGAAAUGUAAUAUGCAUAAAGAAAAACAUAUGCAUUCAAAUACAUUAAGGUUUUAAAAAACUCUGUAAAAGACACCAUAAACUCUUGGAAUAGUGGUUAAUUUCAGUCAUGUACCGGAAGAUGAGCUUGGAAUACUUCACUGUGCAAGAUAGCAAGGAAGCUAUCAUAGACUACUAGGGUGUUAUAUCAAAUGGACUCAGGAGACAACUGAAAAGCAUUCCUCUGGCCAUAGAUGAGACUAUUUGAGUAUCAAGGACGGUAAAUGUAAUUGAUUGGAAUGCAUCAAGUGUCUUUAAAUCUAUUAAUUCACUAUGAUUGUAAAACAAACAGCAUUUACUUGGUCAACAGAAACCAGUUUGUUUUUUUUUUAAAGUAAGUAGGCACUUAUCCUGCUUUUUCUAUGUGAACUGUUGGUAACCAAAUAGUAGCUGAGGAUAGGUUUCUUUUAAAACAUGUAUUCCAGCUAAUAAGUGGAAGAAUUAUAGAAUUUGAAAAUUGCCAUUUUGAAAUUCCUAAUGAAUAAAUGGAUUUAUUUAUUGUAUGUCACCAGCUGCUAACAUGACAGACAAGAAAACAUGCUUGUUAAUGGAAAAGCACUGCUACUGAUUUAAAAAAUCUUACCAAAAACUUGACCCUGAUACUAAUCAGGUCUUUAGAUCCAUUCAACUUACAGGAGAUAAAACACCAAUGAAACCUACAACCAUGUAAUGUUUUGGAAUGGAAAAUAUAAAUGAAAGCUCCAAUUGUGGAGAAUAUCAGGACAAAUUUCAACAAAUACAUUGCAGGAGAAAGAGAGAGGGAGAAGGACAAGUGGAGAAAACCAUGGAUUACAAGAGACUUACUUCAAUAUGAAGCAGCCUGUGACCUUGCAUUAGUUAUCUUACUAUAUAACAAAUUACCCUAACUUAAACCUAAAAAUAUUUAUAUACUUUCUUAGGGUUUGGAUUCCAGGGGUGGCCUAGCUAGGUAUUUUGGCCCAGGGUCUCAUAAAUUUGCAGUCAAGAUGUUGGCUGGUCUGUAGUUUUCUGAAAGUUUUACUGGUGUUAAGAGGAUCCACUUCCCAGAGGGCUCAUUCAUAGAGCUGCCUGAGUUUUCUCACAAUAUGGCAGCUAGCUUUCUCCAGAACAGGGGAUCCAAAAGAUAGACAGAAACCAUGAUCACUCAAAGCGAUUACCAUUUCUUCUACUGUAUACUGUUAGUCAUAACCCUGAUAAUAUGUGGGAGGAGAUUACACAAGAGCAUGAAUACUGGGAAACUGGCUGUCACAGUUUGGCUCCAAUGAUUGACAGGUCUUGAUUUGCAAAAUACAUUCAUCCCCUCCAAAAGCUCUCCAAAGCUCUCAUCUUAUUAUACCAUUAAUUCAAAGCCUAGAAAUAUAAAUCAGAUCCAGUUAUGGAUGACACUCAUAGGUAUACUUAAGUACAGCUCUUUAAGAAGAGCUCUUUUUGAUCUGAAGACCCAAAUGCUAAAGACGUAGCUUCCAUAUGAAUAGGGUAAUAAAUGUAGACAUGUAUAUUUAAAAAGUCAGAACACUGAAGGUGCAUAGGUUCACAGAAAUUCUGAAACCCACCUGAGCACAGAUUGGCAGUUCCUUGGUUAGGAUUCAAGGCCUAGAAUUUUCUUAGCUCUGCCUUUUGGUAUCUUGGGACUUACUCAUUGAGUCACCCUUUCUUUUGCUUGUUUACAGUUCUGCCUACUCUCUGCCAAUAGAAGCCUGGAUGUCCCACUAGCCUCUUUCCAUAUGGUACUCUGUGCCUUUCAGUUCAGGCUGGCAGUAUUCCUGCUAAUAGACUUCUCUUAAAAACUUUUUGGCACACUGUGAAUUUUGAGUUUAAGUUCACUCCAUUAGACAAAAGCAACAAACACACAUCUCUUCCACAUAAAUUUUUUCUACCUCAGGCUUUUGCCAAUGAAAACACCCUUAAACUUUUUUAAAAAAACCUGUGAUGUUAUUCAGAGAUUUUCUGAGACACAUCUUUUGUCUGAAUGAAAAUACUCUGAGGCACAUCUUAAGAUCUUUCUGAGGUAUUAAGGGACUUUAUAACCUCAACUUCAUGUUUCAUUGGCAGUGCCCUGGAUUUGCUUUUUGCUCAGAGACAUUCCCUAAUUUUAGCAUCAUUUGUCAUCUGCACAGGCUGGGAAUCUUCAAAUCCGGCAAGUUUUGACUUUUUUUUUUUUUUUUAAUAGAGUCAGGUUUUUGCUUUGUUGGUCAGGGUGACCUUGGACUCCUGGCUUCAAACAUUUCUCCCACCUCAGCCUCCCAAGGUUCUGGGGAUUUUAGGCAUAAGCCACCAUGCCCAGCCAUGGCUCGUCCUUCCUUUGACUUUCUCUCUCCUCACACAUUUUACUAUAAGCAACAAGAAGAAAAACGACAUGAAAUAUUUAACAUUGAUUUUUUUAUAUUUAACAUUUGGCUGGCAAUCUCCUUCGUUACAUCUACCAGUGAAUUAGGCAUAUUUUCUUCUUUACACAUAGCUGUGAGUAAUGAAUUUGCAAACUUUUUGCUACCAUGUACCAAGGAUCUCCUUCCUUCCAGUUCCCAGUAAGAGUUUUCUAAUCUGUUAAGAUGUCACCUGCAGCCUCCUCAAAGUUAUCUAUUAUGCUUCUAUAAAAAAUGUCUUAAAGGCUCUUCAAAGUUUUAUUAACACUCUAUUCCAAGUUGUACCUUCUGCUCACUGCCAGUUCCAAAACCACACUUACAUUUUAAGUUUUUGUUAACACCCCACUUCCAAGUACCAAAAUGUAUCCUAAUUUUCUAUUGCAGCAUAACAAACUGCCUCAAAAUAUAAUAUGUAAAGCAAUAAAUAUUCCUUAUCUCCUGUAGUGUCUGAAGAUCAAAAAUCCAGAAGCAGCUUAGCUGAAUGGUUCUGGCUGAGUGUCUCUUGUGAAGUUAAUCAGUGAAAGCAUCACCUGAGAUUGCAAUCAUCUGAUGUUUUAACUAAUACCAGAGGAUCUACUUUCACAUGCUAUUGACAGGAAGCUUUAGUUCUUCACUGGCAAUUUAGCAGAAUACCAUGCUUCCUUACCACAUGUACCUCUUCAUAGAGCUUCCUGGCUUCCCAUAAAACAAGUAAUCCAAGAGAGAAAGAAGCAGAAGCCACCAUGUCUUUAAGUCCUUUUUGACAUAGCCCCCAAAGUAACAUAUUACACAGAUAUGUGACCAACCUGUCGGUCACUGAUAUGGUUUGGAUAUGUGUCCCCUCUAAAUCUCAUGUUAAAAUGUGAUUCUUAAUGUUGGAGGUGGGGCCUGGUGAGAGGUGUUUGGUUCAUGAGGGUAGAUCCCUUAUGAAUGGCUUGGUACUGUCCUUGCUGAAAUUAGUAAGUUCUCAGUAUGUGAGUUCACACAAGAGUUGGUUGUUUAAAAGGGCAUGUCAUCUCAUGCUUUCUUUCCCACCAUGUGUUAUGCUGCUCCCCUUCCCUUCUCCCAUGAUGAAAAGCUUCCUGAGGCCCUCACCAGAAGAUGCUGGUGCUGUGCUUCUCCUACAGCCUGCAGAACUGUGAGCCAAAUAAAGUUAUUUUCUUUAUGAAUUACCCACCCUCAGGUAUUGUUUCAUAGCAACACAGAAGAGGCUAAUACAAGACACAUACACCAACCCAGACGCACUAUGAGAAGGGAUUAUUGGGUGCCAUUUUGGAGGUUGUCCACCACAGGAUUUUAUCUGUAUCAUGACUCAACUUUCUUUUUCUUAAAGAGCACAUUAACAAAAUGUUAAGUAAGAAAACAAAUCACAAAAGAAUUCUGCAAUAGAAUUCCACUUAUAUAAAGGACCAAUGAAAGUAAACAUCUUCAGAGUACAAACAUAAGUAAAUCUAUAAAUUAAAGCAAAGGAAUGAUAAGCACAAAUUCAAGGCAAUGAUUUCCUCUAGCUACAGAAGGAAGGGGAUGAAGUAAGGAAGAAGUGAACAAGGAGUUUAAGAGUAUGAUAAUUGUAUGUAUUGGUUUGGCCAAACAGUCCAGGUUUGCCUAGCACAGUUCUAGUUUGCUGAUUUCCUGGUGUAAUGACUAAUAGCACUGUCACUCCCAAAAUUGUUACUGUUUGGAUAAUAAAUUAUAUGCAUCUCUUUUACAGUAAAAGUAACUUUCUUCUCCUUAAACUGGAUGGAGGGCAUGUGGGUUUUAUCAUUCUUCCUUAUAUCAUACAUGUAUUUUUAAAAUGUCAUUUAAAACUAGUCAAUAUUUUAAAAUAUAAUUAAAAACUUUAGUCAGUGACAACACAGUAAAACAAAAUUAGUAUUUAAGAGAAAUAAAUGUAAAUAGGAUCCCAAUGAAACUCUUUUCAUAUGCCUGGCAUUGAAUUAAGCUUGUUACUGAUAAUACUUCAUAUUCAUAGCAAGACUUUUAGGUAGGUAUUAUUAUCUCAAUUUUACACAUGAAGAAUCUGAGACACAAAGAUUAUAUAUAAUUUAACCAAAGUCAUAUCAUAUGUGACAGGGCAAAAUUUUAACCCAAGCAGUGUAAUAUCAGACUACAUGCUUUUAACUACCAUGCCAGAGUCUGUAAUGGACCUUCUUAACCUUUUUUUGUUUGUUUUUGCCAGGGAUCCCUUUGACAGUCUGAUGAAAUCUAUGGAGUCCUUUUUAGAGUGAUUUUUUUUGUACAUCAAAUAUAAUAUACAAGAUUAUAAAUAAAAUCAAUUAUACUAUAUGGUAAUAAGAAUAUUUAACAAAUGUAUACUAUACAUGUGCUUUUUAUUAAUGCAUUAAGUAAUUAAAUAAUAAAAUCUAGCAGGUCUCAUGUACAAUUUUGAAAUAAUACUAAUUGUAUCUUCAGAUAUCUACAAAUAUAAUAAUGUGAUAGGAAAAUGUGAUCUUUACAAGUGAAAAAGUCACCAAAAUAUUUGGAACGAUGCUGGGGUUUUUGCUUAUGUUCAGAAUGAAAAGAAAUACUAAAUCUUAGAAGUUUGCAAAAAUUUUAAGUAUAAUAUUUGCCCACCCCAAUUCCUGGCCCUCUACUUUAUGAUCUUAUUUCAUAGGCUUUCUGACAUCUUUUGCUUGAAAGAGGUCAUAAUCUCCAUUCCAUUUUCUAUUUUCUUGUUUGGGAUUACACUCAAGACGUGAUAUACAAAUAGAUUAGUUUCUCAGAAAAUAUUUUUCCACAUUGCAAGCUUGAGUGGGGGCUGACAAAUGGGAAUGUGCUAAAAUAGCCACAUGUACAUAUAGACAAUGGGAAGCUUGGAACUGCGUUAGCAUUUUAUACAGAAGAUUUAAAACUAAUUUCAGCUGGGCAUUGUGGCUUGGACCUAUAAUCCCAGCACUUUAGGAGGCUGAAGUAAGAGGAUCACUUAAGGCCAGGAGUUUAAGACCAGCCUGAACAACAUAGUGAGACCCCUAUGUCUCACUAAAAUUACAGAAUUAACCAGGCAUAGUAGCUCACAAUCAGGAGGAUGGCUUGAGCCUGGGAGGCUAAGGCUGUAAUGAACCACGAUCAUGUCACUGCACUACAGCUUGGGCAACAGAGUGAGACCCUGUUUCAAAAAAAAAAAAAAAAAAAAAAAAAAAAAAACUGGUUUCAAGCAUGUAUUGCUACAUUGCAGUUCUCCACAAAGGAAUUAUUGUUGAUAACACAAUGCCCUCAGUACACUAUUUGUCAAUACCUGUAGCAAUGCAACAAUCAAAAAAGAAAAUUUAACAGAAUCAUGUUAAAAGUUUAUUGGGAUAAAAUCAAAUCAUCUGACAAGUUUUUGACUUGCCUUUCUCAUGAUUUAAUGUCCCAGCAGAGCAACUGUGGAACCUAAUUCUGAACAACAAGGAGGAAUUGCUUGGCUAAUUGGAAGUGACAGAAACCUUGGGAGAAAGCAACCACAUACCAAGAAUAAUUGUAAGAAAGUAACAUGGGCCUUAAAGGAUAGUGUCAAGAAACCUGAAACUCCCCAACGAGGUGAGACUUGCAAAAAAUACUAAGGGAGGAUGAAGAGCAGGCCUUUUGAAAUUCUGUUCAGAACCAGAAGAUGAUCAAGAAAGGGAAAAGCCUACUAGCAGCUUCUAGUGUAAGGUUAGAGCUGACAGAGAAAGAACUCCUUAACUGUUAUUUGCUUCAUUCUCGACAAAGGAAACUAGAAAAGUGGGUUGACAUAAUAGAAGGAACAUGUGUUCGUGGAGUAAGGCAAACCCUCCUGUACUAGGCCCUUCUAGACCAAACCAAAAUGGAGUCACUCAUAAUAAAACUCCAGGUCACCAAAUCAAAACUAAGUUGUUUAUCUGACCUUCCAAGAAAUCGGGAGGGAGAAAACAGCCAACUCUUCCAACAGGCCGGUUUUAGUCAGCAUGAUAAGGAAAGUCUCUCUUUUUUAACCCUGUAAGUAAAGUAAGUUUUCAAAAUGAUCAAUACACUUUUUAUUCCUUAGUUCUGCUCUCUUUAGCCCUUUUCUGCCCACUUCCUCUGCUCAGAUAAUUGCGAUGUCUGGUUAAUUAUUGAAGCACCUAUUCUAUUUUAUAGAAUGAGAUGCUGCUCAAUUCUAAAAUCACUAGUAAAAAUCAAUUAGAACUUUAAAUUUGUUGUAAUUUUGUCUUUGAAAACAUUACUAGUUAUAUUACUCCGGGUAUCUUUUUUCUCAUCUGUAAAAUGGACAUAGUGAUACGUUUCCCAUAGAAUUUUUCCAUUAAUAGAAGUAAUACAUUCAAAACACUAAGCCAGGCUCACAACAAAUAGCAACGUGUUAAUAUUACUCAAAAGCAUAAUAUAGAUAUUGACAGAAAGCAAUACUGUUCCUAAUUAGGGGAAGAAAUUCUAAGAGAGUACCUAACAGUUUGAAUUUAGAUUAUAACAUUUUCUCUGAGUGUUUUGCAUUACAGGAUUUGGGGAAAAAGUACAAAUGGGAUCGAGAACAGUGGUACCCAUCUUUGAGGAAUUAUGGAAAACUAAUACAACACUAAACAUGGGAAAAUAUCUGCCUACAAGUUGAAAAGUAGACAUCUCAAUCCCUGAAUUUUUUUGUUUUUGCUAAGUGACUUUUUUGUCCAUUGGUGUCAUUUAACCAAAAGAAGAAGAAAUUAAAAAAAAAAAUCAUCUGAAACAAAGGAAUAGAUUGAAUUUUCUUAAAAUGGAGACAUAAUUCUUCAAAGCUAAGGUGCUGAGGAAAAAACAGGUCUUGAAUUUCUUCAGAGCUUCAAGAGGCAAAGCUUGAAAGAAGGAAAAAAUUACAUUCUUAUGUAAGAUGUAGGGGGUUGAAUGGUGGCUCCCCCAAAUGGUAAGUCUUCCUCCUAAUCCUAGAACCUGUGGAUGUUACCUUAUUUAGAUUAAAAAGUCUUUGCAGAUAUAAUUAGGGACUUUGAGAUGAGGAAAUCAUCCUGGAUUAUCUGGUGGGCUGAAAAGCCAAUUUUAUGUAUUCAUAUAUGACAGAAGCGAAGAGGAGGGGAUAGUUGUGACCAUGGAGGCAGAGAAUGGAGUAAUGUGAAGCUGGAGAAGGCCAACAACGGACUUUCAAUCCUCCCACAGAAGUACAGCCCUGCUAAUGUGUUGAUUUUGGAUAAGAGAAUAAAUUUCUGUUGUUUUAA